CCAGAAAUUCAAAUUUAAUACCACAAAAACGAAAAAGACAAAAAACACAGCAGGAUAAUGAUUUUAAAGAAGCAAAAACCAGGAAAAUUGCAUUUUUAGGGGGCAAAUUUGCGGGAAAAACCGGAUUUUUAUAUGAAAAUCUCAAUUUUUGAGACUUUUUCUGGAAAAUUGGGGGUAAAAUUAUUUUAAAAAAAAAACACCAAAGUUUACACAUAAAAACGGGGGGAAUGAGUGGUAAAAAACCGAACAUUUUUAGGAAAAUGAUUAACAAGAAAAAAUAAAUUAACAAUGGGAGGAAUAAUGUUUAAAAAUGACAUUUUCAGACAUUUUUCUAGUUAAAAAAACUUGUAAAUUUCGAUAUUUUUGAGACAAAACUUGGUGAAAAUGUGAUUUUUCAGAGAAUUUUGCAUUUAUGUUCGCGAAAAACUGGGAAAAUCUGAAUUUUUUAGGAUUUUCGAAUUUUUUGAAAAACGAUGAAUUUUCGAGUGAAAAUCAAACAAAAAUAGUGAUUUUUUCCAGAGAUUUUGGGGGGAAAAACUCAAUUUUCGCGCUAAAAAAUUUUUUUUUUACGAUUUUUGUUCUUUUUUUGUUGAAUUUUCUGAUUUUUGGUGGAUGAACAUAGUUAGAAAACUUGGUUUUUUGCGAUUUUUCGAAAACUUCGGAUUUUUCUCAGGGAUUUUGGGAAAAAUCUUAACUUUCGCGACAAAAAAUUAUGUUUAACGAAUUUUGAUGGAAUAAUGAUGGAAAAAGGUGAUUUUCUGAUUUUUGGAUGAAAACUAUAGUUGGAAAACCUCAUGUUUUUGCGAUUUUUCUGAAAUUUUGGAUUUUCGAGAGAAAAUCAAGCAAAAAUAGUGAUUUUUC
ensembl:ncRNA Y48G8AL.20 ncRNA